rnacentral:rRNA from 1 species
CAGUCGCCGCGGUAAUACAGAGGGUGCGAGCGUUAAUCGGAUUUACUGGGCGUAAAGCGUGCGUAGGCGGCUUCUUAAGUCGGAUGUUAAAUCCCUGAGCUUAACUUAGGAAUUGCAUUCGAUACUGGGAAGCUAGAGUAUGGGAGAGGAUGGUAGAAUUCCAGGUGUAGCGGUGAAAUGCGUAGAGAUCUGGAGGAAUACCGAUGGCGAAGGCAGCCAUCUGGCCUAAUACUGACGCUGAGGUACGAAAGCAUGGGGAGCAAACAGGAUUAGAUACCCCAGUAGUCCCUGUCUCUUAUAC